rnacentral:rRNA from 1 species
CACGUAGUUAGCCGUGGCUUCCUCAUAAAGUACCGUCACUUGCAUGUCAUUCCCUACAUGCAUCGUUCUUCCUUUAUAACAGAGGUUUACAUACCGAAAUACUUCCUCCCUCACGCGGCGUUGCUCGGUCAGGGCUUCCCCCAUUGCCGAAAAUUCCCUACUGCUGCCUCCCGUAGGAGUCUGGGCCGUGUCUCAGUCCCAGUGUGGCCGUCCACCCUCUCAGGUCGGCUACGCAUCGUCGCCUUGGUAGGCCGUUACCCUACCAACUAGCUAAUGCGCCAUAAGUCCAUCCUUCAGCUAUCCCGUGGGAUAUUUAAUAUGUAGAUCAUGCGAUCUUCAUACCUAUGCGGUCUUAGCUAUCAUUUCUAAUAGUUAUCCCCCUCUUAAGGCCAGGUUACUUAUGUAUUACUCACCCGUUCGCCACUCAUAUCCGAAGAUAUGCGUUCGACUUGCAUGUAUUAGGCACGCCGCCAGCGUUCAUCCUGAGCCAGGAUA